rnacentral:tmRNA from 1 species
CCACUUGCGCCCAGCCCCAUCAGCCCCUACAUUCGUGGUGUUCCGAAAGGGACUAUGGACAUAAACGCGCUCGUAAUAAGCGGAUCGGACCCGGGGGCGGUACCCGGCGGCUCCACCAAUCAUCCUUCAUUUGGGGAUCAUGGGGCCGAAACAGGAUCGACGAACGUCUAAAGGGGUUAGCUUUGUCCCGGUGAGCCACCACCGUUAUCGGUGCAAAACGUACAGUUGCAAAUGACAACCGUGCUCCGGUCGCAGUCGCAGCGUAAGCUGUCAC